GAUUGCAACUAUCAGCAACCCAUUGGGUUAUAAAGCUGAUAGUUGAAUUAUUGCAACUACCUGUGAUAGUUAAUAAUUCCGCAUUGUAAAAUAAACACGAACAGUUAACAGGUCAUCUUUAUUAAAAUUCGUUUUAAAUGCAUAUUAUCAUAAUAUAAAGAGAUCUGGAGAUAUAGUGCUGUUUAGGGUUUAUCCAAACAAAAUAUAAUUGUGAAGGAAAAUGUCAGAUUACAAGGACAUCAUUCGCAAGCCGGAAACCCUCAACUGGUUUAAGGCGGCCAUGGGUAUGAAUAUUACACGUCACUGCCUGCUCGACAUUGUAAAAGACGCUACUCAGGAAUUGUAUGACACUAUUCGUAAAGAAAUCAAUAGAAAAUACGGUAUCCUGGAGCACGUUGUCUGCAGUCAGUGUCACACUCCAAACGUGCUGCCCUGCGAUACCGAUAAUAAAUGCUGCCAUUAUAAAUAUGGUAGUUGCGCAUUUCAUGACAUUCAUAAGUCUCAACAUUGCCGCGCUAAUUUAUGCAAUGAAAUGUGUAAGGAAAUUGUAUACCAUCACCGAUUUCGCAACCGUUCAAAAUCAAAAAGUUUUCAAGGCCCUACCUGGGAAAACACAGAUGCGCGUAAAUGGUGCGCCGACCCCUGGAAUAUUGCAAAAUGCUAUCUCUCAAAAGACGGAUACAAGGAUGUUAAUAAAGCAGACGAUGCCGAUUUUAAUGGCAUGGUUAAUGUACUUAUAAACUGUGAAUUCUUUCAAAUGUAUUUCAAGGACGACCUGACACAAAAGGAGAAUGUCUGCACCAAGGCUAGAGAUGUGGGUCGUGAAGUACGACAUGCGCCCGCAAUGUCCAUGAUCAGCCAGGAUAGUGACAGAGCCAUCGACACUCUAGUAGCGCUGUUGCAGAGCCUGUAACGUGUAAACCACCAAGUGACGGCGAAGACUGCAGUUGACAAGUUAAAACAGCUGAAGAGUGGAACGCUAGCAAUAACUAAUGAAGAUGUUGCAGCCACCUUUGAGCUCUUGAAACAAAAUUUGAUUACAACAAUUAAAGAGGCUCUUGAAAAAGAAAAGGAUAAACUUGUAAAUGAAAUGGUCGAUGCCUUUACUGAAAAGCUAAGUAAAGUUCUUGAAACAAUACAAAGGAAAGGAGAAGACGUACUUGAAAAGGUAGACGGGAAAAGAGACGAUGCGCUUGACACGCUAGACGGGAAAAAUAUGAUGUGCUUGAAACGAUAGACGGGAAAAGAGAUGAUGUACUUGAAACUAUAGACGGGAAAAUAUAUGAUGUACUUGAAACGAUAGACGGAAAAAGAGAUGAUGUACUUGAAACAAUACGGAGGCAAAAACAUCAAGUGCUGAAAAAAAAGGCAAUGCCACAAUGAACAGAGCAUUAAUCGACAUCCAAACGUGGUUAAUCGAACUUUACCGGGAAAGGUGUGUUGUGCCGGUGUCGAUGCUGGAUCCUGACAUAGAUGUACCUUUAGAACGGAUCUAUGUUCCCCCGUCGAUCAAGGAACUUAAGAGAGGCCGGAAAGACAGACCUGGCAGGGGUGAGAUGGACACGACUUCACGGGCGGAACCAGAUGUGAGUUGCUACAGAGAGCUGCUGCAUCGUUAUGGGGAUCCGGUGAAUACCAUUUAUAUCCAAGGCGAUCCAGGUUGCGGAAAAACGACGUUUUCAACAAAGCUGGUUCUAGAUUGGUGUAAAGCCCAUUCUAAAAAUGGUGCAAGCUGUUUGGAAACGCUCACGAGAACAGCCACUACCACAGGUAAGACGUCAAACCCAACAUAUUUCAGCGAUCUUGACACUUUGAGAGACUACACAUUUCUCUUUUUUGUGUCAUUACGUGACUACAGUGGAACCAUGUGUAACGUCAGUCAGAUGGUCGAGGAUGCCAUAAAAAGCAUCAAACUACCUUGGGAUGACUCUGUCUGGGAACAUAAAUGUAUUGUUCUGACAGACGCUGCAGACGAAUGGUACCACCCCGAAAUAGCCUUUCCUCCGCCACGCGACUCUGCGUGCAAUUGUCAUAAAUAUCGAAGUAUGCCGCAGUAUUUACAGCGAAACAACAUAUCCAACAUUAUCACUGCACGCCCAUGGAAACUUGCCAACCUAAUCAUGAGUGAUACUUUAACGCGUUUGUUCGAAAUUUCCGGCGUUACAAACUACACAACCUUGGCGGAAAAUGUCAUUACUGUUUUAGCUGAGAAGGACGGUAUUUCUAAAAAUGAUCAACAAUGCAAAUGC